UACUGCUCUCAAAAACGAGAGAGGUAUGUAUCAUACCGAUGCCAAAUUUCGCAGCAAACUAGAAAGAGGCCCUAUCUGGGCCCAGCCCAGUAGACGCCCACGACCCAAUUGACAGCCCGACACAUGUGUGGAUAUCCUCGUUCAUCAGGGAACUCGAUUCGCUCAAAAAAAAAAAAAAAAAAAAAUCAGCGAACUCGCUGGGUUGGGUGCGGCCGGCAAUCCACAAGUCCGACGCCGGCGUCCUUGCGAGAUAUCCACCUCCUCCCCUCCGCCGCCCCUCCCGUACAUGUCCUGGCCGCGCUCCCUUGGCCGGCGACGACAUCCUCGGUCGCUAAGGCGGUCGAUUCUGGGGAAGCGCAACAUCGGCGCCCUCUUCCCGGCCCGCGGCGCCCUUGGCCUCACCACUGAUUGAAGAUGGUGCUCGCCGCCCUCUUCGCACGCAAAGAAGCCCGAGGUAUUCACAGUGGUCCGGGUGCGUUGCGUGGCGGUCAUCGCGUCGCGGCGCCCGUGCUGGCUCGGCGGUGGCGCAUGAGAUUGGAGGAGGCCGACGAUGUGAGGCGUCGCCCGCGCGUCGUCUUCUCCCGCGUCGGUCCUUCGCGGUGGUCGUCCUCGGCAUCCAGACCGUGGUGGACUGCGAGCUGGACAGGAAUUCGUCCCUAGCGACAAGACGGGGUUCGGCGUGCAGUUCUCGUCGCAUAGGGGUUCAGCGGCGAGGUGGCCACAACAACCAGGGGGCCGGCGCUCGUGCGGGUGCCAGGAAGGUGUGCCUGGGCUCUGGGCGACUGCCUGGUGGGUAGUGGCCAACAUUGGGUCACUGAGCGAGUGCCAGCUCUCUGAACAAGACACCGACAGGCUCCCUGUAAGGUACUUGCCAGCCAUCGGCACAUGCGGCGCCAGAUGUUCACUGGCUGUAUCUUAAGAAGGUGGCCUAGUUCAGCAGCAAUUAUGAAUGCUCGCUGAUCGCGUGUCAGCGAGUUGAUUAAUUUAAAGUACGCUUGCUGUGAGCAUCUCUACCCUGACGAUGAUGAAGACCUGAGCUGCAAGCACAAGUUUAAGACCUGGCGCAGCAAGAUUGACGGCACAGACCUGGAUUUCAUGGCGAUGCGUGAUUAGAAGUUGCUAUGAUCAGCUUUUCUCCGGUGUUUACUUGAAUUUGUCAUGUUUUAGACUAGCUGUUUUUAUCGAGUUUGGUACUAGUACUGUUUACUUCAAUUUUUCAUUCCGUUUGAUACAGAGAUCUUGUUAUUUAAUACUCCCUCCAGUCUGAUAAGAUUGACGCGAGCGUGUAUACUAAUUAGCCUAGAUUAGGCACAAACGUUGCGUCGAUUAAAUCCGACCAGAUGAGUAAUACAAUUUGGAUAUCAUUUAUCAUACUUUUGAAAUAA